CUCCUCCUCCUCCUGCCCUGCGCUCGCGCGGCCGUCUCGCUCCUGGCCGCACGCCGGGCUCCGGCCGCGAACCAGCCUUGGACUCGCUCCCCUCGCUCCAUUUGAGUAGAUGGACCCCCGACCCCCAAAGUCCCUGGGCGGCGCAGACACCCCCGCUCCCCGAAGCCGUCUCCGCCUCUGCUAGGCUGCCGGGGACGCGCGGCGUCGGGCCUGGGGCGCAGGGUCGGGACUGCGUGCGGUGUGUGUGUUGGUGGGGGUGCUUAGAGGUGAACUGGCUGAGAGGGGAAGCAAGCGAAUGCGGGGCUGCCAGCUGAGGUCCCGCUGAAGUUGUCACUGGGGGUAACCGGGAGUCUACCUCCCCUGCCUGGUGCAGACCCUCGCCCGGCCCGCUGCUACCCGGCUUUUCGGCGAGAAUCCAAGAAAAGAGAAGCUGGAGCGGCGCGCGAGGAAACAAGGAGCCUUUCACCACGGCUCCCGCAAACGCCCGACAGAGAGAGAUGCACAUAGUCCCCGGGAGCCGGGAGCUGCUGUUUGAUACUCUGCGGUUCUUUGAGACUGAGUCGGGAGACCAGGUGCCCGGUCGAGGCCCGGAACGGUCACCGGGUUCCCCUAGACUCGCAGACCUCCCUCUACCCGCGGCGGCAGCGUUCACUGAAUGGAGGCGCCAGGGGGAAAGCCCAGACGAGGAGAGAGGUCCUCUACCCCUUCCCUGACAUCACAUAGGUACAGUGUCUAAGCCCAGCACUGUGCGCCCAGCAGCCUUAUUCCGAUGACCCUCAGUCCCUUGCACAUUCUGGCUAGUAGCCCUGGAGAGGAAAGCGCCCGCACAGGUCCUUUUCUCUCACACUCGGUUUUGUGGUCAGAAGGACUCUCCUAGGGCCUUCUCAACACCACCCUGGGCAGCGGACUGGGGGUCGACCCCCUGCUGGAUUCCAGGACCUUUGCUUUAUCCUCAACCUCCUCGAGUUCAAGACCGGCUCUCUCCUGUGCAGACCCGACCAACAGCGCCUUAUUUGGGCAUGCAACCCCACACCGUCAAUUAGAUCAAAACGCUCACACAGAGCUCCUUCCCCCCCCCACCCCCGUAAAGUAGGUCAUUCUCUUUAUUUCCCGCUUGUAUUAUUUUUGUCUAAUUCUCCUCCUGAAAAAUAAUCAGCUGCAAGGCGCUUUGAGCGUCCUGAGAGAAGCUUAGAUAUUCUUCCUUCGCUCCUGACUUGGAGGGCUUUUCAGGAAGGAGGAGGACGUAUUUGGCACAUUAUGAUUUUGAAGUCCCUCCCUUUCCAAAAGGAGAAAAAAAGGUUUGAUUUAUUUUAUUUUGCUUUGUUUUCCUACCCCCUUCUUUUCCUUCAAGCAAGUAGGUUUCACCGUGCCCUUAAAGCAUGGCCAUGACAAGUAUCUACUAAAGAAUAAAGCUGUGUGCUUUUAACCGGAUUUAAUGCAGAAUUUAAAGCCACCUCCCUUCCUAUCUUGCUUUGAAAGAGAUUCCAACUUCCUCCUCCUCCUUCCUUUUGGGAACUAGUUGAACAAUUAUUAAAUGACCUUUUAGGAAAGAAAUGGCCUACCAUAGUAAAACAUCAAAUAAUUCUGCAACGCAACAA